UUUCGGCCCAACCUCGAAGACUAUCUCCCUUCCGGAUCCUCCAUCCAAGAGCCCCGCGGCAAGCUACGACUCCGUGAUUUGCUUGACAUUUCUCCUACCUUAACUGAGGCUGCUGGUGCCAUUAUCGAUGACUCAUUUACACGAUGCUUCAAGUCGAAUUCUCUGGAACCGUGGAAUUGGAAUGUGUAUUUGUUUCCAAUAUGGUGUUGUGGGGUUGUAAUUCGAUAUUUCAUUCUAUUCCCUGUGAGGUCAGCCCUUUACUGAUGUAGCUUCUCCGUGUUAUAUUAUGCAUUGAAAUAAAUAGUGCC